CUCCAGAUGUUGCUGAACUACAACUCCCAUGAUUCUCAGUCUAUCUAUUCCAUUCAUAGAAUCAUGGGAGUUGUAGUUCAGCAACAUCUGGAG
rnacentral:miRNA from 1 species